UACGGAGGAUGCAAGCGUUAUCCGGAUUCAUUAGGUUUAAAGGGUGUGUAGGCGGGAUGAUAAGUCAGUGGUGAAAGCCUACGGCUUAACCGUAGAAUUGCCAUUGAAACUGUCGUCCUUGAGUGCAGUUGAGGUGGGCGGAAUGUGUGGUGUAGCGGUGAAAUGCUUAGAUAUCACACAGAACACCGAUUGCGAAGGCAGCUCACUAAACUGUUACUGACGCUGAGGCACGAAAGCGUGGGGAU
rnacentral:rRNA from 1 species